rnacentral:rRNA from 1 species
CGUUCCCGGGUCUUGUACACACCGCCCGUCACACCAUGGGAGUUGGGGGCGCCCGAAGCCGGUUAGCUAACCUUUUGGAAGCGGCCGUCGAAGGUGAAAUCAAUAACUGGGGUG